AGAGUUUGAUCAUGGCUCAGAUUGAACGCUGGCGGCGUGCUUUACACAUGCAAGUCGAACGGCAGCAUGGGCUUCGGCCUGAUGGCGAGUGGCGAACGGGUGAGUAAUACAUCGGAACGUAUCUUUGAGUGGGGGAUACCGCAUCGAAAGAUGAGCUAAUACCGCAUAAGCUCUGAGGAGGAAAGGUGGGGACCAGAGAUGGCCUGUCGCUGAAAGGGCGGCCGAUGGCUGAUUAGCUAGUUGGUGGGGUAAAGGCUUACCAAGGCGAAGAUCAGUAGCUGUUCUGAGAGGAAGAUCAGCCACACUGGGACUGAGACACGGCCCAGACUCCUACGGGAGGCAGCAGUGGGGAAUAUUGGACAAUGGGGGCAACCCUGAUCCAGCAACGCCGCGUGAAUGAAGAAGGCCUUAGGGUUGUAAAGUUCUUUAGUCGCAGAGCAAAACGAUUAGCUAAAUAGGCUGAUUGGAUGAGAGUAUGCGAAGAAUAAGCACCGGCUAACUACGUGCUAGCAGCCGCGGUAAUACGUAGGGUGCGAGCGUUAAUCGGAAUUACUGGGCGUAAAGGGUGCGCAGGCGGAAGUUUAAGUUAGGAGUGAAACCCCCGGGCUCAACCUGGGGAGUGCUUUUAAGACUGGACAUCUAGAGUUUGUCAGAGGGGGGUGGAAUUCCAAGUGUAGCAGUGAAAUGCGUAGAGAUUUGGAGGAACACCGAUGGCGAAGGCAGCCCCCUGGGAUAGAACUGACGCUGAGGCACGAAAGCGUGGGUAGCAAACAGGAUUAGAUACCCUGGUAGUCCACGCCCUAAACGAUGUUUACUUGCUGUUGGGGGAGACCUUGGUAGCGAAGCUAACGCGAGAAGUAAACCGCCUGGGGAGUACGGUCGCAAGAUUAAAACUCAAAGGAAUUGACGG
rnacentral:rRNA from 1 species